GACGAACGCUGGCGGCGUGCCUAACACAUGCAAGUCGAACGAAGCAUAGCAAUAUGCUUAGUGGCGGACGGGUGAGUAACGCGUGAACAAUCUGCCCUGUACAAAGGAAUAGCCUCGGGAAACCGGGAUUAAAACCGUAUGACACUUUAGUAUCGCAUGAUAAGAAAGUCAAAUCGAAUAGAGGUAUGGGAUGAGUUCGCGUCUGAUUAGCUGGUUGGCGGGGUAACGCCCACCAAGGCGACGAUCAGUAGCCGGCCUGAGAGGGUGAACGGCCACACUGGAACUGAGACACGGUCCAGACUCCUACGGGAGGCAGCAGUGGGGAAUAUUGCACAAUGGAGGGAACUCUGAUGCAGCGACGCCGCGUGAGUGAAGAAGGUCUUCGGAUCGUAAAACUCUGUCCUUGGUGAAGAAAAGGACGGUAGCCAAGGAGGAAGCCCCGGCUAACUACGUG
rnacentral:rRNA from 1 species